GUAUGUAGCUCAGUGAUAGAGUACAUGCUUUAUAGUAUGAUGUCCUGUGUUCAAUCCCCAGCUUCU